rnacentral:rRNA from 1 species
AUGGCUCGUGGCGACCAUCAAGAUGAUGAUGAUGACUUCAUGGAUGCACCGCAACAGAAUCGUGCGACUGGUUGGGUAAAAGAUGGCGAAGAGAAGAAGAAAGGUCAUCACAAUAGGGCUUCGCAAGAACGCCUGACCAUUUUGAACGAUGGAUUUACUGAUGAGCAGAAGGGAGCUGCCGGUGAGAUGGGGAUGCAGGCUCUGAUGGAUGUUCACUACAAGAACCUAGUGAACCCUGUAUGCGACUGGCUCGGUGAGAUUUAUGAUCCUGCCUCUAGAGAAUUUGUGAUUGCGGGACGGGGAAGACUGCCUUUGGAUGAGGACUCGGUAUUCUGCACUUUGGGUGUGCCCCGCAGAGAAAUCAAAGUCCCGUAUGAGGUGAACAAUAAGAUUGAGGAAGCCUUGUUCCCCCGUUUGUUUCCUGGGGUGUCAACCAUGCCGAAUACGACUGUGCUGGCAACUUCGCUGGAGGGCAUGAAAACCCAUGGCGAGGUAUUUAAGAUGAAGCUGCUCAUGUACUUGAUCUCAGCUAUCUUUGCGCCUACCACGUCUCUCCGCCAAAGCAACAAGUGCUUCCCCAUCCUGGCGAAGUUGAAAGACGUAAAGAAAAUGAAUUGGUGUAAAUUCAUCGUUGACUUCCUGCAUGAUGCAUUCUCAAACAAGAUGUACCAGAAGGGUUGUCGCUUGCACCUAAUGCUCAUGUACGUCGAUGCUCUUGAUCUGUCCACCGUUGACUUUACCGGGAUAGGAGGCCCGCCGCCUGCACAUAAGUUUGUUGUCUCUGCAUGGAUGGAUGCUGUUGUCAAGGCUGUGCUUGCCGCAGACAGGAUAACCGAUACGAAAUAUGAAAAACUGCAGCUAAUGGCCAAGAAUGCUAUAGACUACAGUGUGUUUGGUGGGCCACAAAACUUUGGCAAGUGGAUGGAUGUGCAUUCAGCUCCAUCUUAUCCUACUGAGGCGAGGGCACCUGUUGAGCAUCUAGUUGGGCAGUUUGCCUCCGGCAUGACCAGCUUGCUCGGGAAGUUGGUUGAGGGUUGGACGGCACUUAAUGGCUGUGACAGUGACGCGGUUGCGAGGCAAUUCACAUCAUUCGUUGAAGAACGGACACAUCAACCAACUGGUUGCCAUGGCCGGUACGACUACAACAGCUCACAGGAGCUUCCCGACACGCAAGAUGAUCUAGAUGGAGACGCUGGUCUUGACAAGGACGAUGACGAUGACAUGGAGAAUGUGCAACAUGCAACCGAUGACGAUGAACACGGUGAAGUUUGUGGAGGUGGUACGAAGGGUAAGGUUGCACUAGAUGUCCCUCCAGCAGAGGAAGCAGUUGAACAAACAGGUGCCAGAGACACGGGGGUGUCGCUGUCAAAGAGGGGCAGAGCUCCAGAGGAUGUUGGGCAGGGCUCUGUUGGCAAGAGGUCUAGGACCGUCCCGUAG